GCCUUUGUGGUGUAACGGUAGCACACUCGGCGCCUAUUCGAGAGGCUCAAGUUCGAGUCCCGGCGAGGGCA
rnacentral:tRNA from 1 species